UCCCGGCGGUCCAAGUCGCAGCCACAAUUAUUGGGUCUAAAACAUCCGUAGCUUGCUUUGUAAGUCUGUUGUGAAAUUCUGUCUCUUAAGGGCAGAGAUUGCAAUGGAUACUGCUUAGCUAGAGACCGGUGGACGUAAGAAGUACAUUUGAGGUAGUGGUAAAAUACGUUAAUCUCAGAUGGACUAACGAUUAGCGAAGGCAUCUUACGAUGACGGUUCUGACAGUGAGGGAUGAAGGCUAGGGG
rnacentral:rRNA from 1 species